rnacentral:rRNA from 1 species
GACGAACGCUGGCGGCGUGCUUAACACAUGCAAGUCGAACGAUGAAACCUAGCUUGCUAGGUCGAUUAGUGGCGGACGGGUGAGUAACACGUGACUAACCUGCCCCUUUCUCUGGGAUAACGCUCCGAAAGGAGUGCUAAUACCGGAUACUCACACCGAGGCACAUGCCUUGGUGUGGAAAGUUUUUCGGAAAGGGAUGGAGUCGCGGCCUAUCAGCUUGUUGGUGAGGUAACGGCUCACCAAGGCGACGACGGGUAGCCGGCAUGAGAGGGCAACCGGCCACACUGGGACUGAGACACGGCCCAGACUCCUACGGGAGGCAGCAGUGUGGAAUAUUGCACAAUGGUCGCAAGCCUGAUGCAGCGACGCCGCGUGAGGGAUGAAGGUCUUCUGAUUGUAAACCUCUUUCAGUAGGGACGAAGCGAAAGUGACGGUACCUAAAGAAGAAGCACCGGCGGACUACGUGCCAGCAGCCGCCGUAA